GAUGAGAUUAAUGAGAUUAAACACUAGAUGUGUUUUGGGGCAGAGGAUGAGAUUGAUUUCUCGCCAUGAGCCCAUUUUAUUAAACGACUUCUCCUUCCACUGAUCACA